GCAUUAUCAUAAGCGGAGGAAAAGAAACCAACAGGGAUUACCUUAGUAACGGCGAGUGAAGCGGUAAAAGCUCAAAUUUGAAAUCUUCGGAAUUGUAAUUUGACGGGUAGAAUUUGUUUUUUAAAGAAAGUUCACUGGAAUGUGACGCCACAGAGGGUGAUAGCCCCGUUAACUAAAAGAAACUACUUAAUUCUAUUCCUAAGAGUCGGGUUGUUUGGGAAUGCAGCUCAAAGUGGGUGGUAAAUUCCAUCUAAAGCUAAAUAUUGGCGAGAGACCGAUAGCGAACAAGUACAGUGAUGGAAAGAUGAAAAGAACUUUAAAAGAGAGUGAAAUAGUACGUGAAAUUGUUGAAAGGGAAGGGAAAGGGGGAGAUAAUUCAAGACAAUACUUAAGGUGUUACUACCACUCUGUCUUUC
rnacentral:rRNA from 1 species